AUUGAACGCUGGCGGCAGGCCUAACACAUGCAAGUCGAGCGGAUGAAGGGAGCUUGCUCCUGGAUUCAGCGGCGGACGGGUGAGUAAUGCCUAGGAAUCUGCCUGGUAGUGGGGGAUAACGUCCGGAAACGGGCGCUAAUACCGCAUACGUCCUGAGGGAGAAAGUGGGGGAUCUUCGGACCUCACGCUAUCAGAUGAGCCUAGGUCGGAUUAGCUAGUUGGUGGGGUAAAGGCCUACCAAGGCGACGAUCCGUAACUGGUCUGAGAGGAUGAUCAGUCACACUGGAACUGAGACACGGUCCAGACUCCUACGGGAGGCAGCAGUGGGGAAUAUUGGACAAUGGGCGAAGGCCUGAUCCAGCCAUGCCGCGUGUGUGAAGAAGGUCUUCGGAUUGUAAAGCACUUUAAGUUGGGAGGAAGGGCAGUAAGUUAAUACCUUGCUGUUUUGACGUUACCAACAGAAUAAGCACCGGCUAACCUCGUG
rnacentral:rRNA from 1 species